rnacentral:rRNA from 1 species
AUUGAACGCUGGCGGCAGGCCUAACACAUGCAAGUCGAGCGGAUGAAGGGAGCUUGCUCCUGGAUUCAGCGGCGGACGGGUGAGUGAUGCCUAGGAAUCUGCCUGGUUGUGGGGGAUAACGUCCGGACACGGGCGCUAAUACCGCAUACGUCCUGAGGGAGAAAGUGGGGGAUCUUCAGACCUCACGCUAUCAGAUGAGCCUAGGUCGGAUUAGCUAGUUGGUGGGGUAAAGGCCUACCAAGGCGACGAUCCGUAACUGGUCUGAGAGGAUGAUCAGUCACACUGGAACUGAGACACGGUCCAGACUCCUACGGGAGGCAGCAGUGGGGAAUAUUGGACAAUGGGCGAAAGCCUGAUCCAGCCAUGCCGCGUGUGUGAAGAAGGUCUUCGGAUUGUAAAGCACUUUAGGUUGGGAGGAAGGGCAGUAAGUUAAUACCUUGCUGUUUUGACGGUACCAAAAGAAUAAGCACCGGCUAACUUCGUG